rnacentral:lncRNA from 1 species
CCGGAAUUGUCAUAAACGGUUUGUGAACGAGAAGAAAAAAGCUGGCAGGACCAUGGAGUUUAGGGAAGGCCAUCUCGGUGUCACUUCUUCGUGGCGAAGACAGCCGAGUUCGUCUUGUACAGGACUGCCGCGUUGAAGCCCUAAAAUUAAUUUCUCGCGCAGUCCCAACUCUACAAGACAAGGAGGGCGCCAGCUCCGGAACAGGCACCGCCACCCAGGUGCCACAGUCUUUUGACUCAUUGGGAUUUCGCGCCUUUUUGACUGGGUAUAUAGGGGAGGGCCAGAAAUGUACAAUCCCUGGAGAAACGAGUGCGACACUCAGGCUCGGCUGUGUCAAACUCUCAGAAGAAUGCCGAUGACCAAUAUCAGCAGUGCCCGGGAAUAAAUAUGGUCCGAGUUCAAGCGUGCCGUGCUGGACUUGUGGAGGUCAUGAAACUCAAGUGUGGACCCUCACCCUCCCACCCAUUCCAGUCGUGAUAUCCGAUUUUUCUUAUGUUGUUGGACCAUCUCAUCAGCUGUCUGAAACGCGAUAGAGAAACGGCAGGAAACUCGGACGGAGCCGCAUCCGUCUUAAGUUGCUCCAGUGCCCGAAGUAAUGACUAAAUACGGCAAAGGGUACAUCUGUCAAGAAGCAGUCAAACUUUUACAUCAGCUGCUCACUUGAGUGAACAAGGAAGGUUGACCGCAUAGAUUUUCCGCAUCUCAUGAAGACAAUACUCGGCACUAUAGCAAGCGAUCCUCCCUCGCUCCGGUGAAGCGGCAUGGAUGAUCGCAUCGCCCUUGACGGGGCAAAGUGUAGAAGUCAAACCUUGUGUAACGCCAUUGACUGCAUGAGGCCGUAGGUGUUAGUAGAGGUGUUUGCACAACUGCUCGGGUGGAGUGGCAAACAUGUGGGAUCGUGAUUAAGAUGCAAAACAGGGUGCACUGUCGUGAUCAAAACGUUGCCAGUAUCGUCUGUCGGAUGCAUAAAUGAGGCGGGCAAUAGCUACCACAAUGCAGAUUUGAGCCCGCUCGAUGUUACUUCAUUUGUAUCUUUGCCCACAUUUUGCAGCUUAAAGACGAGUUUCUUUGUGUGCUGUCUACCUUUACUUCGUGAAUUUUCAGUGACACUACAUCCGAGAGUGGUUAUGCUGAACGCAUAAAGAAAGAGGACAGGGCUACCUCGCAGUCACUCUGUCGGCUACCACAUUCAGUGAUAUGGAAAAAAUGUAAACGUUUUCUGAGUUCAAUUCACAGGUGGAAAGGAAGGAAAAUAGCAGGAGCCCGUCUGUCACACGGUUGCAGUCGCAGCGAAAAACAAUAUUUCCCUUUAGGUCCUCCACAGUCUUCUUGCAGGGGGUUUACAGACGCUCUACGCACCAGUGGCGCACGUUUUCGGACCUGAGACAGCAUACGCAUUGCUCGCGAUAUUGGCUAUUGCGUGCUCGUCCUUGAGCUUGCAUUCGGAGGUGGAGGCCAUGUACGUCCAGUAUUCACAAUUGGCCGCCGCCGCGCAGAAAGCCUGGCAGGUUGCUGCCGAUGUAGCUGCUGGCAGCACGCUGUUCUCCUGUGUUAGAUCAUGGCCAACAUACUCAAUACCGACGUGAAAGCAAUCCGAUGAGACGGGCGGAGCAGUCGUGACGGAUGUUGGGCAUUCCCUUGGACCUGAGAUGAUUCCAGGAACGCGUUUCUUGUAUAUGGGAUUCUGCAUUGACGAUUGACCAAUAUUCUUCAUGAUGCACCGUUCACUUCGAACGUAAAACUCGAAAACGGUGCAAAGUGGCUCUGCCUGGCAUAGUGUCUGGCAACCCUGGGGGCCUGUGACUCUUGCCGACUGGGGGAGGGCUGGUGCGACGUACUGAAUAUCCGUCUCAUAGCAAGUGCCAGUCGAUGAGUCCCCGAUAUCUCCUGUGAUAGUAGUCAAACAGUUUUUCGGGCCUGAAAUGGCACCACUGUGAGGGAUCCGUGUUCCAGCGGCUGUGUAGUUUUUCAGGUAGCAGAAACGCUGCUCUGCCAGGUAUGUCCAGAAGAAACAGCCAGGCUUGUUCUGGCAGAGCCACUGGCAUUCGUUUGCCGUAGUCACAUCCCCGUCUUCAUAUUUGUAAACAUCGUUUCCGUAGUAGUCGAUGUUCAAUUCACGGCAAUCUGAGAACGCAGAGGGCAUAGUCGGGGUACGGGUACCAUGAAAGAUGGUGUAGUCUACAGUCAUUAGGUAGCAG